AAUUAAUAUUCUUUUUGGUGCAACUACUUAAAUAGAAAGUCUGUUCGACUUUUAAACAAUUACAUGAUUUGAGUUCAAACCGGUAUAAGCCAGGUUGGUUUCUAUCUUCUUUAACUUUUUCUUAGUACGAAAGGACCAGAAAAUAUUUUAAAUCUUAUU
rnacentral:rRNA from 1 species